UACGGCCACGUCAUGUUGAAACACCAGCUCUUGUACGAUCAUCGAAGUUAAGCAACGUCAAGACUUGUCAGUACCUAGAUGGGUGACCCCUUGGGAAUAUCAGGCGCUGUAA